rnacentral:tRNA from 1 species
GGGGCUGUAGCUCAGUGGUAGAGCAACUCCCUCUUAAGGAGAUGGUCGGAGGUUCGAAUCCUCCCAGCCUCA